AGCUUUAUUCUUAAUCUAUUUCUCGACAAAUUUAGUUUUUCACCAUACCCCAUUCCUGGUUAAAUUAACUGGAAGCUUGCUUGAUUUGGACGACCUCCGCCUUUUCAAUUUGUGCCUCAUCAAGGUAUGGCGUCUGGAUGCCGACGAUCUGCAAGAAUGAAUUUUUUUGAGGAACAUGCUUUUGGGAAUAAUGAAAGCGACGGUGGAGUUGCAGAACAGGUGGUAUAGUUGCAGAUCAUUGGUUGUGGCUCUAGAGAACCUAGAUCUUUGUGUCUAACCGAUUUGGGGAUGAUGGCAGGGGUGUUGUAAUUUCAUAAUGGUUUUGAGGUAUUAUAAAGAGGUUUGAAUUGUUCUGAGUUUGUUUUUUUAAGUUACAUAUAUGAGAUGUUACCUGGUUGUAAUAAGAUGUCUGCUUUGCUCAUUGACAUUGGUUAGCAGUAAUCAAUGGUCUAAAUAUCGGUUAUCGGCAUCGUAUCGGUUUUGUAAAAUAAGGAUAUAACGGGGAUAUAUCGAGAUAUAUCGGAUUAUAUCGGAUU